rnacentral:rRNA from 1 species
AAUCUUCCGCAAUGGGCGCAAGCCUGACGGAGUGACGCCGCGUGGGGGACGAAGGCCUUCGGGUUGUAAACCCCUGUCAGAGGGAAAGAAGGUAGGGGCGGUGAACAGCCGCCGUUAUUGACGGUACCUUCAGAGGAAGCCCCGGCCAACUCUGUGCCAGCAGCCGCGGUAAGACAGAGGGGGCAAGCGUUGCUCGGAAUCACUGGGCGUAAAGGGCGCGUAGGCGGGUCAGGAAGUCGGGCGUGAAAUCUCCGGGCUCAACCUGGAGGGGUCGGCCGAGACUCCUGGUCUUGAGGGGGGCAGAGGAGCCUGGAAUUCCCGGUGUAGCGGUGAAAUGUGUAGAGAUCGGGAGGAACACCGGUGGCGAAGGCGGGGCUCUGGGCCCACCCUGACGCUGAGGCGCGAAAGCGUGGGGAGCAAAC